AUGACCUUCCAAGUUCUAUAAAAAGGUGAUGAUAUUAUUUGCAUUUCUAAAUCGAACAAUUCUUCUCGUGAGCUUUAUGCACCUCGAGGUUUUAAUGGAGAAUGUGGUGCCCGUGCAGCCUUAUAAUCUUGUUACAUUCAUUGAAUGCCAAGGGACACUAUAAUCGUUAGAUAAUUCUGAUUUUC
rnacentral:snoRNA from 1 species